CACCUGUCACAGCUCCACUGAAAUUUAAAAACCAUAAACAUCAUAAAACGAACAACAUGCAUGAAAUGAAACUAUGUUCCAGCCGUAAAGGAAGACAAACUAUUCUUCCAGCAGCACAGAUUCAUAAUUAAAGGGUGAGCUGUAAUCCCAGUUCUUGAGAGGCUGAGGCAAGAGGACAAUUGAAAAUGCAGAGUCCAACCUGGGCCUACAUGGGGAAUUUCAAUGCCAGAUGUGGGUCCCUGCCAACAGUUGCCCUGCCAAUGGCUGGGCAGUGGGACAGAGACGGGACUUUGAGGAUUCCUGAAGAGGAAACACAGGACCCAGAGAAGGAGAGUCACCAACACAACAACAGAGCUGUGGAAGACAGAGAACCAACCAUGUAAGAAUCAAGGAAAAGCAGCCCCAGGGGCCACUCCCUCAAUUAGGUCUGGGAUAGCAGAGAUAAAGUAUAGAUUCAUCAGAGGGGACAGUGUGGUGGCCACGGGAAGCUUUGGAAGUGGCCCAACCAUCCAUUGAGGCAUCCCUUCCCCCUGAGGAACCAGCCACAUGAUGGUAUAAUAUAGAGGCAUGGGGAGGGGAGUCAAGAGGUUAGUAGAGACAGAGGGAGAGAGAGAGAGAGAGAGA